rnacentral:lncRNA from 1 species
CUAGCUUGACAAAAAGCAGAACUAGUCCCUAGAAUUACUAAUAACAUAUCAGUCACUGGACAUCCAGAACUUACAGAUCAAAUCCCAAACUUACAGAAAUCCGAAAAGGGUCACUUAUCUUUCUAGGCUUAAUUGUUGAAUCGCCCCGCUCCUCAAACAUAGCAGGAAUGUCUCUAGACUCCUCCCACAUUGUGUGAUCGUCACCCUUCUUCUCUGGCGAAGCAACCCACCACCGGUGACCUUGUCUACAGACUUCAACAGUGAUCCC